CUUCAAUCUACAUAGCAUCAUAAAAGCCAAAUAUGUUUAUAUUAGUUUCAGUUUUCUUGUUUGUAUUUUUCUGUGUUCUAAAUUUUUUGCAAUGAAAAUGUGUUACUUUAUAAUCAGAAAAAAAUACUAUUUUUAAAGAAUGUAGUGGAUGAGAUCAUUUGCAAAUGUUUACCUGAGGAAAUUUUGAGGACAUCAAGAUCAAUCAAGGUGAUUGGGAGUUAAUACCAGACAGAAAUAUACUGUCCUUGGAAAUAUGACACUUCUUUCAGGGACUGAAUUAUGUCCUUCCCCACACAUUCAUAUGUUGAAGCCUUAACUUCCAAUGUGAUGUAUUUAGAUAUGAGGAUUUGGGAAGGCAAUUAGAUUUGGAUGAGGUCAUGAGGGUAGGGCCCUCAUGCUGUGAUUAGAGUACCCUUAUAAGAAGAGACACCAGAGAGCUUGCUUGCUCUCUCUCGGCAUCAAGUGAUGACACAUGAGUGAGAGGGUGAGAAUGUGGCCAUUGGCAAGCCAGGGAGAGAGACUUCACCAGAGCCCAACAAUGCUGGCAUCCUGAUCUCGAACUUCCAACCUUUAAUAGAAGUAAGUUUCUGUUGUGUAAGCCACCCAGUGUAUGGUAUUUUGUUAUAGCAGCCCAAGCUGACUAAGAUAGACUAAGUGGACUAAGAUCCGAACUGUCGUGUGGCAAGUAGUUUUCUGAUAUUGAGAGAGGAUCCUCUUCCUCUCAGAUUUAGUCAGUAAAUGUUUAUUAAAUGUCUACUGUGUUCCAUGCCCUGUGAAAAAUGCUGAGGAUUCAAGGAUAAUUAAGACAAGGUUCCUACCCAUAGGGAGCUGAUUUAAUAAGAGACAAACAUGUAAAUAAAGUGAAAAAAAGUGUUACAUGUGCUCUGACAUAAGUAUGUAUAAGGGACCCAAAAGUUAGAGUAAUUGUUUCUAUCUGUGGUUUAAGAGGGGAUAGGUUGAGUUGGUCAGUACUCUAUCAGGUUAACCCUAAGUUCACCAACCAAGUCAAGAGAUGUGGCUUUCAAUGUGGUGACAAACCCCGGCCUUCACAUGGUGAGCCCUGCUGAAUGGUCAGCCUCUGUCAUUCUUGACCUCACCAUCUCCAUGAUAUAUAACAGCAACAUAGUCUUAUAGCAAUUAAUAAAUUCCUACAAAGAGCUUCCAGGAAUAGGCACAAAUUUCAGAGAUCCAAUAGAGGAAGUCAAAAAGCCAGCACUGGGCAGUCACAGAGAUUUAGAUGGUGGCUACCCUCUUAGAGGUAGAAAAGAGUUUGCUGCAUGACCUCAAAAUGAAAACAGGUAUUGGCAGUGGCUUCAGGUGCCCUUCAAUCAUUUCUGUACUCUGUGGACUUCC
rnacentral:lncRNA from 1 species